UAGGAAAAACACCCAACAUUG
rnacentral:piRNA from 1 species